rnacentral:misc_RNA from 1 species
GAUGAAGAACGUAGCGAAAUGCGAUAAGUAAUGCGAAUUGCAGAAUCCGUGAGUCAUCGAAUCUUUGAACGCACAUUGCGCCCUCUGGUAUUCCGGAGGGCAUGCCUGUUCGAGCGUCAUUAUCACCCCCCAAGCCCGGCUUGUUGUUGGAUGCAGCGCUUAUCCCGCUCCUCCCAAAGAUAAUGACGGCGUCUGCGACGACUCCUGUACACUGAGCUUUCGGGCACGUACACGGCUAGAAGUCCAGACCCGGUCGCCGUCCCCCCCCGCGGGGACACCCAUUAUCACAAGGUUGACCUCGGAUCAGGUAGGAAUACCCGCUGAACUUAAGCAUAUCAAUAAGCGGAGGA